AUCUCUUUGGCAAUACAUUUAUUUAACAUUUAAUAUUACAGAGGAAAUUAGCAUGGCCUUUGAUAAAGAAUGACAGAAAUGUUUUUGAAAUAUUCUAUAUUUUU